rnacentral:lncRNA from 1 species
AUACACGUGGCUUUACCUCCACUCCUAAGGAGCAGGUGAAGAGUUGGAAGGAGCUGAAGUUGGCAUCUUCCAUUGCUCCCACAAUGAGUCUGCAGCAUCCCAGGCUCUGACUAUGAAACUUCUGCACAGUGAUCCUACAUUUGCCCAGCAGUUGCUGAGCUCUGACCUCGGCUGUGAUGUACCACACAGUGCCUGGCCCCCAGGAUGCUACCAAGCAUUGGAUUCAUAGCUCCGGAGCCAUACAGAUGGGGUACCACGUGGCUUGAACCCAACUCUUGUUGAGAUCAAUGGACAGAAAUGAAGAGAGCAGAGUUGACCCACGCCUGGGACUUCAUCUGGAAUUGCUGCAGAUGUGGCCAUAACAUCUACAGCUCCUUGGGUCCUGACAUUUGCAAGUCCUUCCAGCAACUUGGGUAAAGAACGUGCGAUUCUCCCACGGCAGCAGAGGCCUAGCGAGGGACAGGGAGUGGGUUCAAAUCCCUGAGCAGAAUUUAACUUCUGCAGCAAAAAUUCCCAAUUUUGCCUGAAUCCAGGCAGGACCAAGGGAGAUAAUUCAGACCGCUACAAAUUCCCCUCUGAAGCCCUUUCUGCAAAGCUGCUUUCAUUUCCAAGCUACUCCAGAGAUACGAAAAUACCAGGAGGAUAUUUGCAGCCUAACAUGAAAGCACCAUUUUAUUUUUUUUUUCGAGCAGAGAAAAAUUAUUUGAUUUCUUUUUUUUUUUUUUUUUCUUCUUUUUUUUAUGCGCUGCCCAAAGAAUGUGCCAUCAUUUAGACCUCAUGCCAAACCCCUCUUAUUUACAUGUACUCCCCGGAGGGGGCUGACUAAACCUUCCAUUACUCAACAGCAUCUUGGCUCUGGCACCAAAUCACUGCAAAGUUGGAAGGACUUAAAAUAUAUGAGGAUAUAUGGAAAGGGGCUGAGAAGGUGCCACCAACUGAAGGCGUCUUUGACUUCAACCCUAAUCUUACUGAAUAGAGUAAUGCAAAUAAAUUUUGCUGUUUCAAGU